rnacentral:rRNA from 1 species
UACGGAGGGGGCUAGCGUUGUUCGGAAUUACUGGGCGUAAAGAGCGUGUAGGCGGUCCGGUAAGUCCGCUGUGAAAGUCGGGGGCUCAACCCUCGAAUGCCGGUGGAUACUGUCGGGCUAGAGUGCGGAAGAGGCGAGUGGAAUUCCUGGUGUAGCGGUGAAAUGCGCAGAUAUCAGGAGGAACACCUAUUGCGAAGGCAGCUCGCUGGGACGUAACUGACGCUGAGACGCGAAAGCGUGGGGAGCAAACAGG